UUCAACCUGAAGAGCUUUCUGAUGGUAUUGCUCCAUGAGAAGUGUCAUCUAUUGAAACAGCAGCAAUAAUAUCUGUUAGAAUAGAGCUUGCAUUGAGAAGUGCUUUAACCCAAUAUGUACAUGUACAGGGAGGAUUGCGAAAACUCAGUGCAGAUGCUGAGCUCUCGUUUAUGCCUUUGUGAAGAAGUCAGACAACUGAAGCUCAAAGGACACGUAGCCAAGAGCAAUGACAUCACCCUGCACUUGGGCCCGAGUCCAAGACACAUCAACACCAAUAUGUUUAGUGAGCCCAUGCUUCGCCAGACCACAAGCUAUGCUGAUAGCACCAGUCAGACAAGAGAGGAGUUGGCACACAAACUGAAACACCAAAAUCCUCAAGUACCAUCACAGUGACACAGUCACAGCCAAGUAACCUUUGCUGUCGCAAGAGCCAUAGUUUGCAACUCAGCAUCUGCACUUGAAUGAGAAAUCACGGUCUGUUUCUUAAUCUUCCGAGCAAUGAGAGAACCACCAAGAAAACCAUAAUAGGCAGAAAGAGAGCGACAAUCAGCAUCGCUAACCCAAGUAGCAUCAAAGUAGGCUUGGAGUUGAAUAGAGCUAGAGCGCGGAAAGAACAAACAUCGAGUAAUGGUCCACAAAGGUAACACAAGACAUGAAGAAGAUGGUUAUAGUGGAGGUGAGUAGUAGCGAAAACAAAUUGACGAAGAAUGUGCACAGCAACUGAAAUACCAGGAUGAGUCACACCCAAAUAGACAAGCCUCCCAACAAUAUGGCGAUACCAUGUGGGAUCAGUGAAGGGUUCAUCAUCAGUGGCACGAAUUUGGAGAUUAAGCACGAUGUGAGUCUCAACAGUGUGAUGGCCGGUGAGGGAAGAACAAUUAAAUGCACCUUUCUUAGGACAAAUAAAUGCCAUGAGAGGUGAAAGAAAUCUCAAUCCCAAUAAAAUAAUGAAGACCAAGAUCGGACAUGAGAAAUUGCUCACUAAGACGUGCCUUGACAAAGGCAAUACACUCAGAAUCAUCGGUGAUGAUCAUAUCAUCAACAUAAAAAUGAAGAGUGUGACCACGUGAUGAAGUAUGAACAAACAAGGUCUGUCAUGAGCUCUCAAAGCAAAACUAGCACCAGCGAUUACAGAGGCAAAGCGCUCAAACAAUACGAGAAGCUUGUUUUAGAUCAUAGAGAGCAACAAAGACAACAAACUAUGCCAUCAGGAACAAGAUACCCAAGAGCUGGUCCAGGGCCGGCUCUAGGCAUAGAGCCACUAGGGCGGCCGCCCUAGGGCCCCAACUCCUGCAGUUUGUUAUAUAGCUAAUAUUAAGAGUUUUAAAGUUAAGCUUGUCAGAACCACCUAUGUCUUCUAUGGAGAUUUAUUAGUAUGCCAAUUUUAUGAAUUCAUAUCGUAAUGUUUCUAUAGCUUAUCGAAUCUUA